CCUACGGGUGGCAGCAGUGGGGAAUAUUGCACAAUGGGGGGAACCCUGAUGCAGCGACGCCGCGUGGGUGAAGGAGUACUUCGGUACGUAAAGCCCUAUCAGCAGGAAAGAAAAUGACGGUACCUGACUAAGAAGCCCCGUCUAACUACGUGCCAGCAGCCGCGGUAAGACGGAGGGGGCAAGCGUUAUCCGGAUUUACUGGGUGUAAAGGGAGCGUAGACGGCAGUGCAAGUCCGGAGUGAAAGCCCGGGGCUCAACCCUGGGACUGCUCUGGAAACUGUAAAGCUGGAGUGCGGGAGGGGCAGGCGGAAUGCGGGGUGUAGCGGGGAAAUGGGUAGAUAUGAGGAAGAA
rnacentral:rRNA from 1 species